CUGUUGGAACAAAUACAGCAUAGGAAUCUGAUUGCAAUUAAAAUCUAAUCAAUUUGUGAUAAAAAAAAAUAAAAUCAUACAAACUUACAGAUAAUUGCUAAAUCCAAAUAAAAAAUUUGAUCAAUCCGGAAGCGUGCGAGGCACUGCCCUAAGGCGUAUUUCCGUCCUUACGUGCGGGAUUAACCGGAAAUAACACCCCAAGGUACGACCGGAAUUUCUCCUCCUGCGAGCACGAUCGUGAAGGAGGUUGACGGAGACUCUUUCAACACCCGAUGACAAAGAAAUCAAGUAAAUAAACAAUUGAUAAAAACUUAAAUUAAAACCCUCCUUUCACUUGUUGUUUUUCUACGGUGUUCAUAUAUCUAUGAACAGUAGAACAAGUGUAUAUAAAUAUAUAGGCUAAAUUACAGAAAACCCCCCUGUAAUAACCUGCUUUUUCACUUUCCCCCCCUGACAUUUAAAAACCUACACUUUGCCUCCUUGUAAAAUGAAAAAUGUGCACUUCACCCCUACCGUUAGGGUUCCGUUAAGGGGUUCUGUUAAAAAAUAUUUUUUUAUACCGAAAAUACCCCUCUGCCUCUUCUCUGAUGCUUCGCUCCCUCCGGCUCGCCGCUUCGCAGCCUCGUCGCCUCGCCGUCCUCCACUGCUUCGCCCUCCUCCACAUCCCUUUCGUCCUCCUCCGCCACCUCGCCUUUGCCCUCGUUGUCCCUGCCUACCUCUCCAUCAACACCCAUCUUAGUAUCCUCCCUAUUGUCGCCGAAAUCGAUGGGCGGCGACAGUGUAGGAGGAGAAGGGGAGCAGGUGGAGAAGAAAUUAGAGAGGAAUCGUGGCCGAUUGAGGUGGAAAUAGCGGCGGAUCGAAGGGGCGGCUGAGGAAGCUCAGGAAGAAAACAACAAUGGCGAGGGGCAAAAUGGUCAUUUUACACACCGUGACCCCCCUGUGAACAUUUUUUAUUUUACAAGGGGGCAAAGUGUAGAUUUUUAAAUGUCAGGGGGGAAAGUGAAAAAGUGGUUUAUUAUAAUGGGGUUUUCUGUAAUUUAGCCUAAAUAUAUAUACAGGGGAAUGAGAAAACUUAACGUCGGUAUUCCCAACGUUAA
rnacentral:lncRNA from 1 species